AGCUCCAAUAGUAUAUAUUAGUGUUGUUGCAGUUAAAACGCUCGUAGUUGGAUUUUGGACUGGCCCGCGUGGUCCGCCGCAAGGUGUUGCACUACGUGGGUUUGUCUUCCUUUCUAGAGACGCGGCAUGCUCUUUACCGGGUGUGCCGAUUUGAUCUAGAACAUUUACUUUGAAUAAAUCAGAGUGUUCAAAGCAGGCCUUCGCUUGAAUACAUUAGCAUGGAAUAAUGAAAUAGGACUUUGGUCUUAUUUUGUUGGUUUCUAGGACCGAAGUAAUGAUUAAUAGGGAUAGUUGGGGGCAUUUGUAUUUAAUUGUCAGAGGUGAAAUUCUUGGAUUUAUGAAAGACAAACUUCUGCGAAAGCAUUUGCCAAGGAUGUUUUCAUUAAUCAAGAACGAAAGU
rnacentral:rRNA from 1 species